rnacentral:misc_RNA from 1 species
AACGCACGAGACCUGCGGACCUGCGGAAGGAUCAUUACAGAGUUCGUGCCCUCACGGGUAGAUCUCCCACCCUUGUGUAUUCCUUACAUUUGUUGCUUUGGCAGGCCGUUGGUUCGCCAACCACCGGCUCGCGGGCUGGUGCGUGCCUGCCAGAGGACCUCUCAAACUCGGUUUGUUAGUGUCGUCUGAGUAUCAUAAACAAUCGUUAAAACUUUUAGCAAUGGAUCUCUAGAUCGGAAG